rnacentral:misc_RNA from 1 species
AACGGUCUAUACCUGCGGUACCUGCGGAGGGAUCAUUACAUGGCGGAGAAGGUGGGCAACCUGGCCAACAUCCAGGUUGUGAUGCCUUCACGCUCUUCCACCCUUGUCUAUUUGCACCUUCUGUCGUUCCCUCGGCGGGUUUCGACCCGCCGGCGGCAACAUUGAAAAACCCUUUUUGCAGUUAGCAUUCCAUUCUUCUGAUCAAAUAUCAAAUCGUUACAACUUUUAACAAUGGAUCUC